rnacentral:tRNA from 1 species
GUUAAUGUAGCUUAAUUAUUUAAAGCAAGGAACUGAAAAUGCCUAGAUGGGUCAGCACAACCCCAUAAACA